AUUAAUUUUAAAAGGGCUUGUUUUUUGAAAUAUCAUUUAAAAAGAUAUUAAGUAAGAAACCGCCUUUAUUUAUUAUUGGAUGCAGUAUUUUUUUAGGUUUUUUUUUUAGGUUAAAGCAGGAAAAAAAUUAACAUGCCGCACUUUAAAAUUUUAUCGAAACGUCAAAUUCAAAGAAAAAUUAAAUCAAUAGCAACUUUGUUAUUGCAACAAGGUUUGCCCACGAAUAGUGAUAAUGAAACUAAUAUCCCUUCUAUUCCAUUAUUGCCAAAAAACUGCAGUGAAAAUAUAACUACACCUUUAAACACUGUAACCCCAAAGAUUUGUUUAGAGCCUAAUGCAUCCUGUUCUAAAUUUAAUGAAAAUAGUUUGAAUGAGGAAAAUAAUUUAGAAUUCUUGGAAACUGGAUCAACUUUUGAUUUUGAUUCUGUCACUGACUCGUCUGAGGACAACGUAAAUGAUGAUGGUAGUAAAAAUGUAGUUUCCUCGUUAAGCCAAUGGGCUUUAUGGUAAUGGGUACGUCGAUUAGCUGGUUUGGAAGGAUCCGGGGUUGAGGCCGUAACAAGACGUAUUAUGAAAUUUCUACUUACUAAUGAGGUAGGGAACCAAUUUAAUUGGAAGGGCCGCCAUAACAAAGUUAGUUUUGAAACCACUGCCAGUAUGGCUAUUGUUUACGAGGCCGCCAGGCUUAAUUUUCCUAUGGCCGAAAAAAACGAUUUAAAGGUAGCAUGGAGCGUAAAGGAGUGGCUAAAGCAUUCAGCCACACGCAUAAAACAUGGUGAAAGGAUUUAAAUAUUUGCCUCAUCUAUAGGUUACGACGUUUCUGUAAAUGUACAUGUUAUAAACCUUCUUUUUUCUUAAAAAUUAGUUCAGUUGCGUUUAGUCUUAAACAUUGAUUGAGUAAUUUUUUUUAUCAAGUUUACGUUUGUGUAAGAAUACUUUAUUCUAACAGUUUUUUGUUAAACAUUAUUUCAGUUGAACUUAAUUUGAGUAAUGUUAAUAUUUUUUUAUUCUUAGAUUAAUGUUUACGUUUGUGUAGAUAUACAUUAAAAUAUUUACCAUUUCUUUUGGUAUAAAUUGGUUUAGUUACGACUUAUUUAAAGAAUGUUAAUAUUUUUGAUUUUUAAAUAAAGUUUUUG
rnacentral:lncRNA from 1 species